ensembl:lncRNA
CUCUAUUCACGGGCCAGUACCAUAGGAUUUUUUAAAAAUAAGUGAUAAUUUUGUUUUACUAUUUGCCCUUCUUUUUAAGAGUUUGCUUAGCUAUUGUUUGUUCUUCAAUGAUAAAACUGGUUUGUUUAUAUAAAAAUGAAACAACAGCAAUAAUAGCAACACAACAAUAAAAGUACCAGUUGGCAUUUAACUUACAAAUUAGCUGAGGAAUAACUGAUGACUUUAUGAUAUUGAGGCUUCCCAUCCAAGUACAUGGGUGUCGUUCCCUUUAAGUCUUCUGUGGAUUUUGAAGUCUUCUUUACAUAAUUUCUGGUUUGUUAGUUCUGAUGUAUUUUUCCUUUUUUGUUGCUAUUCAGUUUGGUUCUGUAUCAGUAAAGGCUCCAUAAGUAAAGAAAUGACAUGAUUUAAGUUGGAUAACUUCACGUGAUAAAGAAGAGAAACGUGAUAUUUACAAAAAUGCGAACAAAACAUAGAAGAAGCAAAAGGGCAGAGGAGUUGGUACCUUUGGGCUGUGAACAGCGGGCCUCAGCGCUCAGCCAAGUGUGAGUGGUUGAGAGCAAAGGAGGACUGUGUAUCCCACACUCAGAGGUCCCCUUGGAGACAGGAACCAUGACCUUGGUCCAGGGGCACCACCAGCCUGCUGUGAUCCCACCAGAGAGAACAGCAGCAGAGGAGGAAAUAAAUAUGUCUCCUCCCUUUCCUCCCCCCACCUUAGAUCUCCUGCUGGGGCUUUCCAUUGGCCAACCAGAGAUAAGACCAGAGAGCCCAUGGGUACAGCUGGUGCAGAGCCUUCCUGGGGGUGGAGUCAGAGCACAGUGCUCCAGUUUUCCUCUAUGUGUCGCUCUCUUCAUUUGCAGCUAUGACAAACCUAGACAGCAUAUUAAAAGGCAGAGACAUUACUUUGCCAACAAAGGUCCGUCUAGUCAAAGCUAUGGUUUUUUCAGUACUCAUGUAUGUAUGGAUGUGAGAGUUGGACCAUAAAGAGAGCUGACCACCACAGAAUUGAUGCUUUUGAACCGUGGUGUUAGAGAAGACUCUUGAGAGUUCCUUGGACUACAAGGAGCUCAAAUCAGUCCAUCCCAAAGAAAAUCAGUCCUGAAUAUUCAUUGGAUGGACUGAUGCUGAAGCUGAAACUCCAAUACUUUGGCCACCUGAUGCGAAGAGCUGACUCAUUUGAAAAGACCCUGAUGCUGGGAAAGAUGGAAGGCAGGAGGAGAAGGGGACGACAGAGGAUGAGAUGGUUGGAUGGCAUCCCCAACUUGAUGGACAUGAGUUUGAGUAGGUUCCAGGAGUUGGCGAUGGAAAAGAAGCUUGGCAUGCUGCAGUCCACAGGGUCACAAAGAGUCGUCCUCGACUGAGCGAGUGAACUGAACAAAACCACUCCCCUACUCUACAAUCUGUCAGCAUCCACUCAGCUUAUGGAAGCUCUACCUUGUAACUGAGAUUUAGCAUCUCUCUGAGAUAACAGUCCGGAGCAGGUGGCCUUAAUUAUCAACACGGGGGAGCUGAGCCCAUCCAUCAGUGCCCACAGCUCCAGCCUAGGAUGUGGUGGGUGUACCUAUGAGUGAGUAAGAGAAAGUAGGUACUUUCUAUCUGAAUCUGAUGGCCUAUGUUGUGCACAAGGAACAAUAUCGCAGCGAACAGAUGAGAAAUUUAAAACAUGAAAUUCUUUCCAUUGAGAAGAUAUUUAUAGUGACAUGAAAAAAGUCUGCUGAUAUACAUUAAUUGUCCAUUUCAAGACGAUUUCUACACAGCAAUGAAAUAGAGCAGACUCCUAGUACACAACGUGGGUGAAACUGAAAAACAGUGCACUCAGUGAAAGAGGCCAGGCACAAGGGAAUACGUAUUGUAGGAUUCUGUUUUGAUAAAGCCCAACAGUAGUCCACUCUCAUCUGUGAGGAUAGAAACCAGGAUAGUGGUUGCUUCUGAGGGGAGAAGCGGGAGAGAAGAAAUGGACUUGAGGAAAAUUUCUGCUCUGUCUUUAUUAAGGUGGUAAUUACACAAAUGUACACAUUUAUCAAAGCUUAUCAAACUGUACAUUCAAGAUCCGUGUGCCUUACUUAUGUGAUUACACUUUAUAGAAAGAUAACAGUCUGCUCUGGAAUGCAAUCUCAGAGACACACUAAAUCUCUUAAGGCUUUGUGGGGGGAUUUUCAGUUUACUGGGUGAACUGUGCUGCUUCAUUCUAGUGGAAAGGAGAGAACAUGAGCAGACAAAUGAGUCCGAUGCUUUUAGACCUUUAAACUGUGCAUCUCUGGCUUUGCACACUUGCUGGCUGUCUUUCUGGAAGUUUCCCCCACAGACCAGCCCAGCUCAUCUCACUUCCUUCAUGUCUCAGGUAACAGCCUUUACUUGAUUUGUGUCCAUUGGAGAUUGUUCCCAACCAUCUCCUCCUGAGCUGACUUACUUUCUCUCCACAUUCUUUGAACUUGUCUGACCCUCCUGUACCUGGGCUGAGCCUCAUGGCAACAAUUCCUGGACAACUAACAUCUGUGCUUGUUCUGCUGCCAAGAUGGGAGUUCUGACCUAUGACCACCGAUCAUAGCCUCCAGCCCCUCUCAGGGGACACUGGGCAUUGAAUCAUAUUUAUCAGAACCUCUCUGCCUUAAGUUAGAGGCUCCUUUGAACUUGGUGUCCUCAUCUCUCCCCACUCUUGCAGGUCCCCAUUUCCACCCUGGCCAUCUCCCCACCUCUUUUCUCCAUGUCCUUGUCCAAUCCCUCGUCAUCUCCAUUGCCUUUCCCCACCCAGGUCAUCCAGGAAAACGUUCAGGAAGAAAUCUGCCAUUUCUCAGACUCCUCUCAACUUUACAAAUCUGUUUUAUACCAGUAUUCCAAGUCAAAAAUCAAGUAAAGGCUGUUAUUCAUAUUUCAAUUGGAUUCUUGGCUUUAUAAAACCACGUUUCACAUAAUUCCUCAAAUUGUGUCUCCUUUUGGUGGGAAAUUGCCCUUUAUUUUUUUAAUUGAGAGAAACUGACAUGUCAGUUUCAGGUGUGCAAACAGUAAUUUGACGUGUAUGUUGCAUAUGCCAGCCUGUGUGCUCAGUUCUCAGUCACGUCUGACUCUGACUCUCUGUGACCCCAUGGACUAUAGCCUGCCAGGCUCUUCUGUCCAUGAGAUAUCCAAAGCAAGAGUACUGGAGUGGGUUAUCAUUUCCUACUCCAGGGGAUCAUCAUCCCCAUUCAGGGACCAAACCAGUGUCUCCUGCUUUGGCAGGCAGAUUCUUUACCACUGAGCCACCAGGGAAGCCCAGAUAUUGUAUAUACUGCAAAAUAGUUAUAAGACGUCUAGUUAACAUUCAUCACCAUGCAUAGUUAUCUGUUUUUGUAACACACUGUCUAUCUUUUAAAGCUACACUGAAACAACUUAAUUUAUAGAAAAUUGAUGUACACACAGAUGUUAUCUUCUCACUAUAUUUUUAUGUCCUUAUGGACAAUUGCUUUAUAAAAAAAAAAAAUCCCCAGGUGCCUGGCAUCUUGCCUUAUACAUAGUUACUCGGUUGACAGUUGCUGAAUGAAACAGUGAACAAAAGUCAAAAUGAAGAGUAACAACUUACUAUGUCUUCAAAAGCAACAGAGCGAUACGCACAAUUAAUGCUUUGGGGGAAAUCGGACUGACUUCCUAAGGACUCACUGUGGGGUUAAUUUGCUGAGAAACCUCAAAUUCAAUCUCACCUCCCUCCCUUCCGAGUCUGCCUGGUAGAUAGAGGGCAGCCUGCUUGUACAGAGCAGCACAACCAUGAGGGGAAUCCCGUGCUACAGUGAUCAAGUUUGGCACUGUUGGUUAACGACACUGUCAGAGCUUGUCGGUUUUGCUUAUGUGUCUGCUUCUCUGGGGUAUGCAAUGAAAAUAAUAAAAAGUGACUUUUAGGACCCCAAGGUAAGAUGCUUGUUUGAUGCUUAGAAUAAUUUAGGCCAGUAGAUAUGAGUCUUUCUUACACACUUUUGAUUUCCUUUCAUUUGAUUCAAGUCCCAAUAAUGCAUUAGAGCAAUUCAUGGGAAUAACAUCACAUUCUGAAAUUUGGAGAGAUCCUACCUUGUGUAUUUCUGCCUGCCUGUGGCUUAGAUAAAGAUCUUCCUAUAUAAUUAGCCUAACAUUUCUUUUGGAUAAACUUGGGAAUCCAAGGAGGGAAUACAGUGCAUUUCUGUGUGUUUCAAAUGCAGAAGAAAUAUCUAUCCAAAUUAGUUGAUCACAGAUGAUCACAGUACUAAAGAAGGAACAAGAGUGGUCAUUGAGCCAAACCUCAUCAGACAACAGUACCUAACAAAGUACUGUGUCCCUGAUAAGAUUGACGAUCUCCAGACAAGUGCACAGACAUUUUACUGUGUUCAGCACAUGCUAAUGAGGAGCCUCACUGGGGUUCGGCUACUUCCUUGAGGUCUAGAUGGCAUCUCUGGGGUGGGUGCCUGGCCGGCUCUUUCCUGGGUCCCAGUGCUCCUAAUUCAGAGCUGCAUCACAGGGCAGCCAGCUCAUCACAGCUGGGCCUCCCACCCUCCCUCUUCUGCUUCUUUGCUCUCUUCUUCAUCCUUUGUGGAAGGGUGAUCUUAACUCCAGAAGCACCUUCUGCAUGCUCUCACAGACGAACUGAUGGCCAGCACCAGAAACCUUCCUCACAGUGGGCCCUGAGAAACGAUGGAGAAACAUGUUUCAGAGUAACUCACAGGAAUCAGCACAAGAAGAAAGGCUGGUCAACAGGACAGUUAGCAAGUACUUACAACACAUGCAGGGCACGUGCGGGGCAUCGGAUUAGAAUAGAACAGGGGUGUAUUUUUGUCUCUAUGUCUCACAGUGAGUUUAUUAGCUCUCUAGCAGUGACUACAGCACUAAGGAAAACCGUGCUCAGAUUCUCUUUUGAAUCUGUGCAAGGUUAGAGGUGACUGCAGCCAAGAGAUAAUGCACAAAGAGUGCCAGAGGGGGCAUCCGUAGGCCUUAGCCUGUCCCUCGAAUUCUCCUUCCCUUUGCAAGGACAGACUAGAGACAAGGGUUAAGGUUAGAAAGCAACGUUAGUUCUCAGAGUCAAGCACUCUUUCAAGGAUAUGCGAGUGGGCUGCCCUCCAGAGGGUGAGAUAUUAUUACAAUAGCUAAUCCUAUUAUUUUUGCCCCUUUAUUUAAGAUUUCCAGCAUGUCUGAGGUGGAUAUCAUUACGAAAGUUUACAACGGGGGCAACUAGACUCAGAGGUGAUGGGUCUCGCCUAGUAAUCUGACCACAGCAUCCACGCACUGACCAUCCGACCACACCGUCAGACCCUGUGCCCCUCUGUCCCUCCAUGUGUCUGCCGUCAGCACAGCAACCUUCCCUGACCACUGAAAACUACUAAAAAGGUAGCUGAGCCUUUUGUUUGCUUGCUUUAAGAGGAAACAGAAACUCAGAAGGAAUUCAAAAUGUCACACACUUGGUGACCACAGACGCUCCUAAAACCCCGUCAGAACACCUGGACUCAAUCUCAGUUGGUUCCGUCCAGGAAGUCAUGGCACUGCUGUACCAUCUGGGCUUCGAGCACCUGCCUUUCUACAUGGCUAUAUUUUUCUCUGCAGUGAUGAUAACUGACUUUUUGUUUGUGGUAGUUUGUCUGGUACUAGAAGGUUGGCUCCCAGGGCAGUGCCCUAGGCUGUUUCAUUGUCAUCUGACUCCCUAGCACCCACUGUUCACUAGUAAAUAGGCACCAGUGAGGACCUGCAGAACGAGGGGGUUUCUAACACCCAGGAGUCUGUGCUGUGCGCAGCUGCUUCAGUUGUGCCUGACUCUUCAUGACCCCAUGGACUGUAGCCUGCCAGGCUCCUCUGUCCAUGGGAUUCUUCAGGCAAGAAUACUGGAGUGGGUUGUCAUGCUCUCCUCCAGGGGAUCUUCCCAACCCUAGGAUCGAACCUGUGUCUCCUGCCUCUCCUGCACUGCAGGCAGAUUCUUUACUGAUGAGUCACCGGGGAAGCCCAUCCAUGAGUCUAACCAGCUGUAAAUGCUGCUAAGUCACUUCAGUCGUGUCCAACUCUGUGCGACCCCAUAGACGGCAGCCCACCAGGCUCCCCCGUCCCUGGGAUUCUCCAGGCAAGAACACUGGAAUGGGUUGCCAUUUCCUUCUCCAAUGCAUGAAAGUGAAAAGUGAAAGUGAAGCCGCUCAGUUGUGUCCGACCUCAGCGACCCCAUGGACUGCAGCCUUCCAGGCUCCUCUGUCCAUGGGAUUUUCCAGGCAAGAGUACUGGAGUGGGGUGCCAUUGCCUUCUCAGAACCAGCUGUAAAUAGUGAGGGGAAAUUAGCUCAGGUCACCUCUUUUGGCUAACAAACUUACAUCUUAACAGGGAUUUCUCUACAGAACUUUAAAACAAAGAAGUGAAUUCUGUGGUGAAAGCAGGUCAUUUGGGGGUCAAGUGUUACGCAGAAGAGUUUCUGCAUUCCUCAGGUCACCUCCUCAGGGACCACCUGUGCUAUGAGGGGCAGCUAGAUCUGAAGUCUGUGAUAUAAUUCAGUGAUGAUGCCCCUGGUGGACAUUUCAGGGAGGAAAGAGAAGUCCUUCUGGAGGACCACUUGUUAAGACUGGGGAAACUGUGGUAGUAAUUGUGGUGCAUGGGCUUAGCUGUUCUGAUAGAUGUGGGAUCUACCCCCACCAGGAAUCUGACUUGUGUCUCCUGCACUGGCAGAUGGAUUCUUUACCUCUGAGCCACCAGGGAAGCCCAGAAAAAUCUAUUUUUUUUUUUAAAGCCUGGUGGAGGGCUGCACUACAUUAAAAGCAGACAAUUAUAAUGAAAUUCAAUAAAAUCGAUGUAAUGAGUAAGGUCUGCAUACAUAAUUUUUAACUGCUGUCUUUGGCAUGAGGAAGAAGCACAUAGAUCAAAUUAUCUGUUAAAAAUCCGUGCCCCCAGUCAAAUUCCCCAAUUAGUUUACUACUACAGUUAGGACCGAGGGACUUAGUGAGACUCUCCUUGAAGUUUCCUUUGCUCAGUUCAGGAAUUGAGGAAGGUCCUGUGUGUUCACGUGUGCGCCCUGGAUGCCUGGGGGAUGGGGGGUGACUGAAACAGGACCCCUCUGUUUGCUUACUUAUGUUACUCCUUCCCCACCCUGUCCUCCUCUUAGUAUUUGUUUCCAAAUGAAAUCAUCUCCUCUUCGCCCGGACUUCAUCAACCCCGAAGAUUCAAAAGGAGAUGCAAGCGGCCCCGCCUCCUUAUGAAUAUGCAACAGCGAGGGGCUGGGAGGAAGCACAAGAGGAAAGCCCUGCGAGAAAUUCAACCUCUGUCGGCCUUUAACGGCUUCGGCCGCCCCCAGCCUCCACCACGCCCUGCACGGCCGGCGAACAAUAGCGCAGCCCGGAGUCCCGGAGGCGUGCUCGCCUCGGCAGAGGAGUCCCUGUAUGUUGGUCGCUCCGGAAACGUGGCGUCUGAACAGCCCUUCGCAGCCCGUCUGAACUCGGCCGGGAAAGUAGCAGCCGGACCGGUUCACCGUCUCCCGCCCAAGCAGCCGAAGGUCCCCACUUUGUCGUGCGAAUGACGCGGACGCAGGUGUCCUCGCGGCGGCGCCCGCCGGGGCCAAGUUCCCCUUCUGUUUCCCCGUGACCUCCUACCCACCCGAGCUCGGCGCGGGGUGGGCGAUCCCGCCGGAGACCCCGCUGACGUGGAGGGAUGCUGAGAAAGGUAAGCGGGUUUCUGCGCUGGCGGUCCCUCCGCCCUCUCUCUUGGGGAGGGGAUCGCCAAGCAGCAGGUGGUUGAAAUCCCGCGUCCGUGCACACUCUCUAAAGCGAGGCUGAGAGUAGGCGAAGGAGCGGCGUGAGAGCGCGGCCGCAGCACUGGCCGAGCCGGAGGUUUGAGAAGUUGCCGCGGCCCCAGCAGGUGCAGCGCAAGCGCGGAGCUGUGCCUGGGAGGCUCGGGCACCACUCGGAGCCCGCGUUGCCGUGGCAGCGGGGGCGGGGCCCGGUCGCGGCAUGCGUCGCCAUGGUAGCGGGGGCGGGGUCGAACCGCGGCGUGCCUGGGUUGCCAGACGACGGAGGAACACCAGGAGGGGUUCGCGGUAUCUCGGAAGCUGCUCAGAGGACCAGCCACAAAGUCUGGUGUUUCUUUGACACUCGGCUCUGAGCUGGGACGUCUCUUUUUCACUCGUGUCGUGUGCUGACCCCCCAUGACGGUGUUGUCACCUGUGCCUUCAGGAAAGACAGGAAGCACCAGAAACGGUGUGGCUUGAAAACAUCAGUGACGGAGCUGCUGCACGAACGGUGAAAGGGUCCAGCUCCGUGCAGGUCCUGAACACAUCCCGCCCUCCAGCGUGGCCCACGAGGACCCUCAGGAUCCCACGCCUGACGCUGUGUACCUGCAGGUCAGAGCUCGUGGCCUCGCAGAGGAGGACAGAACAUCCUGGGGUCUGCUCAGUGACAUUUCCUGUCAAGGCAGCAGUCUUAUGAAUGGUUUUAGCAGAUCCGCUGCUAACGAGUCCGUGACCAUGUUGGUGGUGCUCACAUGCUGCUGUGUUUAAGUGUGUUGUGCACGGAGUUGGACGUAUGCCCUCAUCAGCACACUGAUGCCAACAAGACCCUCCUGCAAAUAAGAGGCAAUGCCCCCACCUCAGGAAGCCCCUCCCAGAUGCCGCACCCUUGGUGCCUGCUUUUGCUGAUGACACCCCCAGCCAGGGGAGGGAAUCAACUGUACAUCGAGCAUCCCCCCGCCCCCAGCAGACCACCCACAUUACAUUCUUGGACCACAGAUUCAAACCCAUGAGGCUGAGACAAGUAAGAAUUUAUCCAGGAAGCAUAUCUUUUGGUGAGAGGGACAGAAACCAGCUGGAAUCCCUUCCGAGGGGUCCAAGGCACUUUCCCAUAGAACCCCCCACCCCCCACUCAGCCCAGCCCUGCUCACAGCAGCCUAGGAUUAGGGUGAGUGGUUCCAUCAGAACAGCAGAUUUAGCUCAGAAACUAAGUUCACUUACUCUGUUCAAGUACUAGCUAUUUGGAGGGUGAGAGAGAUUUCUCUGAAGUUGGGGAGGUAGUAGAUAUGUUUCAUGAUUUUUCAAUCUCUCUUUUUUUUUAUGAUGUCAGCAUUUAAUGGUAAAAAGAAAUUCUGCUCUUGGACAGCUUGUGUAAGUGCUCACAUUGCAACAUUGGUUUAAUUCUUACAUUUUUAUGUUUAACCAAUCUGGAUGCUCAUAUGAAACUUUGCUCCUAAAGGAAAUGCAUGUGCUCUGAGGUGAGAGUCAGGGCUCAUUUUGGACAGGGUGAGAAUUGCUUGGUGUCUUAGACCAACAGAACACCCACCUAGUGCCUGGACUGAGGGGUCCUAGGCGAGGGGUCAGGCUGAAGCAGGAGAGAGAGUAUUUACAAUUAUGAAGUGAAAACAAGUUGAAGGACGCUUGUGGACUAUGUGAUGGUUGGUGAAGAGAUGCAGUUACAGAGCUGUCCUGCCGGGUGAAGGAAGGAAUUUGUCUUUGGAUCACUCUUGGAGCAGGGGCACGGGGGUGGGGAAGGUUUGAGUUCAUCAAAUUGUCGCAAAUAGUCACAGUGAAAAACAGCUGGUAAAUGUCACGAAAAGCGGCUGAGGACACAGCGUUUAGAAGGGCAUUUCCCAAGGACUGCACAUUCUUUCAGACUUGUCAACAGACCAUCACAGUUGCCUACGAGACACAAGAAGUAACAGCCUUGGCAUUUUUGUCAAUGGAGGAGUGGGUUCCUUGCUGUGCACACAGUGGCAUAACUGACAUUUCUUUCCUCCUUAAUAAAGACUUCCACUCCCUUGACCUUUCGACUUGACCUUCUAAACCACAGUACAGUAUGUCUUGCAUAAUUACCACCUGUUCCAAUAUGCAGUCACCAUACUCAGACUCACUUCUGAAUAGGAGAAACAUUAAAAAAUAAAUGAAAAACACAUAACACAUCUGCGUGACAGCAUCCAUAGAAAAAGAACCGAUACAGGUAAGAGACUUUGUUCAGAGCAGGGAGCAGCCGUAGGUCUGCGACACUCCAUGGGUUUUCCAUUGAAACACAGAGUAUCCAGUCUGUGAGUAACUAUCUGAAAUUCUAUUAAGUGAGAGGUUGGUAAUGAAUGUGUUACAGUGUAUUCGAGAGAUGUGGAGGGCCUGUUAAAUAUUAGCAUUAUUUCCCAGCUAACAAGUAAGGUGUUUGCUUGCCAUUUACUUAUUGUGUGAAAUAGCCCUUUGUAUUUCUUAUUCCCCAAGUAAAGUGGACAGCAGCUUGUGGAAAGCUUUAACCAAGCUCAACAAUGCAAAACUUAGAAAGUUCAGCUUGAGAUUACAUUUAUAUGUCAGAAAUCCAAAAAGGUCUAUCCAUUAAUAGCUACUGCUGACGACUAAGGUACAGCUUAUCAGCUCAGAGAUCACUGGCUUGUUUGAAGUUCAAACAGGAUUAUUAAUUAGAGCACCAUCGACCUUUCCUGAAAUGUAAAUUUACUAUUUGCAGCUGACCUGAAAUAAAGAGGCUAUUUUUUCUCCUAUAGUCUGCAAUGUAAUGUCUUCUCUUUGAAUUUUUAACUGUUUGUGUUUGUGGAAAAAUUACAUUAUGGCAUUUGGGUUCCAAAGUUUUGCAUGUUAUGUGAAUGGAUAACCAGAAAUCUUUGUAUCUUACUUCAAAAUCACCUGGCAUACACUCAGAUGAAAAGAAAUAUGAUGAACUAUUAAAAGGUACUCGGUCUGUUUUAUGAGGAUGUUUUCAGUGUUCAGGAUGAAGGUGAAUGCCAGGCCCCGACCCAGCCCCUGACUGGGAGGAUAUCAGAGGCGUGAGGUCACAGCUUGGGUGGUAGUGAGGGAAAGUCAGUGUGUUUCUAAAGAAGAGGGAGCCUGAGGGUUUAUGACUUUUAUGAAAGAGAAAUGCAACAUGUAUUUAUAUAACUGUAUAAUCACUACAAAUUUGAUAGCAGUAGAACCAGUUAUAAUGUCUACAUGUUUGUUGUUGUUUUGUUUUUUGAUAAGCGCAUCAUUAAGAAAUGUAUUAUUCAGCCAUAUCAAACACUUUAAAUGUCAUGUGCUAAAUGGUCAUCAAAUGUGUAAGACAGUGGGUUUCCUUUUUUCCCCUUGUACAUCCUUCACAAUUAGAAUAACAUUAAUGAAAAUUUUGCCUCUGAGGUGAUAUUUUAUUUCAAAAUAAAAUGCUAUAGAAGCAUUUCUGAAAGUGUGAUGUUUGGAUGUAAUUGCUGGGCCCCCUGGCAGUUUAGAGGUUCUAUGCAACCAUGGGAAUUCAGGGGGAAAGAGCCAGCGAGGGCAGGGGUUCAGGAUGGCCACCCCUCUCUUCCAGGAGCCCCUCUUUGGAAUCCUCGGGCCAACUGAGGGUUUGUCCAUGACAGGAUUCAGACUCUCUGCCUUUCCUGAAGCUUCUGCCCUCAUGGUGCAAGGUAGACUCUGGCCUCCCUGCUGGGAAGCCUCCCUCAGAGUACAGAGCCCCCAGCAGCCAGAGUUGCUGGAAUGAAGAAAGCCCCACUACGGACCCAGUGACCUGAGGGAUUUGGAUCUCAGUGGGAGCUGUACUGUGCGUUUAACGUUUAGGAUGUUACUUUGUUCUUUGUUUUAAAUUGUUCCACGUCUUAUAACAAAUAAUAGAACAGUUGGUACCAGGAAUAACUUUCUUGGUUUUACCCUUCUAGAUUGGCUAAUUUAUUUUCAUUCCUCAAGAGGAGUAAGGAACAUACAGCAUGCCUCUGGGGAAAGUCCGGUCACAAGUGUCAUAGUAAUUUAGACCCGUGCUAAAGCCUUGACUCCGGCUGCUAAUCUCUUAAGUGACCUGGCCCCUGCCCACCUCUCGAGUUCAUCUCACCUCCCUCUCAGGUGAAAUCACACUGGCCUUUCUGCUGUUCUUUGAGCACUCCAGGCUCUACUGCCCCAGGCCUUUCUCUUCUCAUUGCCUGGAAAACUCUUCCUAUAGAUAGAUUCUUGGCUUAUUCCUUUGCUUUAAUCACUUGAAACAAAGGGCUUCUCAUCGCAGUGGAGGUGUUGGACCAAGCUGCAUUGAAGAGCAUGUUCCAUCUAUCCCCAAGGGGUGUCUCUAUGCCUUUCCUCUGCUCUGUUUUUCUUCUUAACACUUACUCUUAUACUGCACAUUUAUUUUUUAUUCAUUUCCCCCACCUCAAUAAAACCCCAGACUGUAGGCUCCAAGGGAACAUGCUUACUUUUUUAAAUUAGUCUCCUCCAGCCUCCAAGACAACCCCGGUUAAGCUAAUGCUCAAUAUAUGCCGUAUUUGCUGAAUCAAUUAAAUGCAUGGUUGUAAGUUUAACCAGUUAAAAUGGUUAAAAGUAUUUCAUCUGAAUAAAGCUUCUCUUGGAAAUUAAAACCGAAAAGAUAAUAAAUAAAUAGUUCCAUUUGCAACUUGAGCAUUUGUUUGUCUUGUUAGAAUGCUUGAGCUUUUAACUUCUCUGCAGUUGAUAUUAUUCCAAAGUAGGAAAGAGGUAACAGCAGAAACCUAUUUGUAUUCUCACUGAAUUCCCAGAUUUAUUCACUCCCAUGCACUGAAAAAGUCUGAAAACUUUUGCUUUCUAACAUCAAUCGAGUAUUUUAUGACCACUUAAGUGGAACUAUAUUAAUAUUUUUUUAAAGCAAGUUUACAGUUGUUUGAGAAGGAAAUCACUGACCUAAAUUUCAGAUAACUGCUUAUGUUUAUUCCUGGCCUAAAAAUGACACUUUUAUGCCAAACAAAAUUUACCACUCAGUGGUAAUCUCAAAAUUGAAGGUUUUAAUAACCUCAAAACUGAAAUUGAUUGAGAAUCACUUCAAAUCCAAGUUUGAAAAAUAAACGGAAAUGCUGGCUUGACUCAACCUCUCAUGGCCAGCAAACCCAGUUUCCUCCGUGGCCACCAGAGGGAGCUGUUGAACCUUUAAUGAAACACUUGAACUUCAACAAACCAGGUAAACCUGUCAGGUAACCUGACCUUCAAAAUGUAAUGCGAUGUAUUGAAUAAGCAGUGACAUAGUUUUUGAUUCCUAUUAAAACAAAAUGUAUGCAUAUAACUGAUAGAUAUUUCAGUUAAAUUCAAUGAAUACUUUUAAGCUCUAAUUUACAAGGCACUCUUUUAAAAGGGGAUAUAAAGAACUCAAAUGUUUCAUAACUGUGUGUAUGUUUGUGUGUAUGUACAUUUGUAUUACAAACGAGCUGUAGAACAUGAUCUAUAAGAACUGUUAAAAAAAAAAAAAGUGCUAUGGAGUUUCAGAACAGAGAUGGCACCCAGAAAGGCAAGGUGAAGGAGGUGGCUUUUAAGAAUGGC